UACGUAGGGGGCAAGCGUUGUCCGGAAUCAUUGGGCGUAAAGAGCGCGUAGGCGGUCCGGUAAGUCCGCUGUGAAAGUCAAGGGCUCAACCCUUGAAUGCCGGUGGAUACUGUCGGGCUAGAGUCCGGAAGAGGCGAGUGGAAUUCCUGGUGUAGCGGUGAAAUGCGCAGAUAUCAGGAGGAACACCAAUGGCGAAGGCAGCUCGCUGGGACGGUACUGACGCUGAUGCGCGACAGCGUGGGGAGCAAACAGG
rnacentral:rRNA from 1 species